rnacentral:rRNA from 1 species
AUUGAAUGCUGGCGGCAUGCCUUACACAUGCAAGUCGAACGGCAGCACGGGAGCAAUCCUGGUGGCGAGUGGCGAACGGGUGAGUAAAGUAUCGGAACGUGCCCAGUCGUGGGGGAUGACGUAGCGAAAGUUACGCUAAUACCGCAUACGAUCUAUGGAUGAAAGCGGGGGAUCGCAAGACCUCGCGCGAAUGUAUCCGCCGAUAGGAGAUUAGGUAGUUGGUGGGGUAAAGGCUCACCAAGCCAGCGAUCUGUAGCUGGUCUGAGAGGACGACCAGCCACACUGGGACUGAGACACGGCACAGACUCCUACGGGAGGCAGCAGUGGGGAAUUUUGGACAAUGGGCGAAAGCCUGAUCCAGCCAUGCCGCGUGCAGGAUGAGGGCCUUCGGGUUGUAAACUGCUUUUGUACGGAACGAAAAGGUUUGGCCUAAUAAGCUGAGCUCAUGACGGUACCGUAAGAAUAAGCACCGGCUAACUACGUGCCAGCAGCCGCCGUAAGAC